AAAAUACAUAUAACAAGUGAAACUGCGAGCUACUGCUCACUGAUGAUACCCCCGCCGCAAGUGGAUAAUAUUAAUAGUGUAAAAAUAUGCAAGUGUUCGGUAAACAGGAAGUUGUCGAGUGAUGAAUCUGAAAACGCAUCACACGGUAUAGCUGACUUAUAAAAAUCCUGAAACCAAAUUUCAGAAAUCCUUGUAUUGUAGUUCCUGAGAAAAAUGUGACGAAAAUUUUUAACUUGGUUAUCAUGUGUAAAAUCAUACAAGUGUUCGGUAAACAGGAAGUUGUCGAGUGAUGAAUCUGAAAACGCAUCACACGGUAUAGUUGACUUAUAUAAAUCCUGAAACCAAAUUUCAGAAAUCCUUGUAUUGUAGUUCCUGAGAAAAAUGUGACGAAAAUUUUCAACUUGGCUAUCAUGUGUAAAAUCAGACAAGUGUUCGGUAAACAGGAAGUUGUCAAGUGAUGAAUCUGAAAACGCAUCACACGGUAUGGCUGACAUAUAUAAAUGUUGAUACCAAAUUACAGAAAAGGUGGAUGUGUAGUUCCUGAGAAAAAUGUGACGAAAGUUUCAUGGGACGGACUGACUGACGGACGGACGGACUGAUGGACGGACUGACGGACGGACGGACUGACAGACAGAGGUAAAACAGUAUACCCCCCUUUUUUUAAAGCGGGGGUAUAAAAAUAUAAAAUAUACAAA
rnacentral:lncRNA from 1 species